rnacentral:rRNA from 1 species
GAUGAACGCUGGCGGCGUGCUUAACACAUGCAAGUCGAGCGAUGAAGUUUCCUUCGGGAAACGGAUUAGCGGCGGACGGGUGAGUAACACGUGGGUAACCUGCCUCAUAGAGUGGAAUAGCCUUUCGAAAGGAAGAUUAAUACCGCAUAAUGUUGAAAGAUGGCAUCAUCAUUCAACCAAAGGAGCAAUCCGCUAUGAGAUGGACCCGCGGCGCAUUAGCUAGUUGGUGGGGUAACGGCCUACCAAGGCGACGAUGCGUAGCCGACCUGAGAGGGUGAUCGGCCACAUUGGGACUGAGACACGGCCCAGACUCCUACGGGAGGCAGCAGUGGGGAAUAGUGCACAAAGGGGGAAACCCUGAUGCAGCAACGCCGCGUGAGUGAUGAAGGUUUUCGGAUCGUAAAGCUCUGUCUUUGGGGAAGAUAAUGACGGUACCCAAGGAGGAAGCCACGGCUAACUACGUGCCAGCCGCCGCCGUAA